rnacentral:rRNA from 1 species
GAUGAACGCUGGCGGCGUGCCUAAUACAUGCAAGUCGAGCGAACAGACGAGGAGCUUGCCUCUCUGACGUUAGCGGCGGACGGGUGAGUAACACGUGUGUAACAUACCUAUAAGACUGGGAUAACUUCGGGAAAACGGAGCUAAUACCGGAUAAUAUAUUGAACCGCAUGGUUCAAUAGUGAAAGACGGUUUUGCUGUCACUUAUAGAUGGAUCCGCUCCGCAUUAGCUAGUUGGUAAGGUAACGGCUUACCAAGGCAACGAUGCGUAGCAGACCUGAGAGGGUGAUACGCCACAAUGGAACUGAGACGCGGUCCAGACUCCUACGGGAGGCAGCAGUAGGGAAGCUUCCGCAAUGGGCGAAAGCCUGACGGAGCAACGCCGCGUGAGUGCUGAAGGUCUUCGGAUCGUAAAACUCUGUUAUUAGGGAAGAACACAUGUGUAAGUAACUAUGCACGUCUUGACGGUACCUAAUCAGAAAGCCACGGCUAACUACGUG